AUAAUUAUUAUUAUAACACUAUUUUAGAUAUUUGGCUGCCCAGCUUGAUCUAUCAACUCGAUGAUACGAAGAACCAUUUGCUCGUGAUGAAUUAAAAACACUUCCAAAGAUAUUUGGUUGAAAUAUUGUUCGAUUUGGAGUUGAUUCUAGACAAUAAAUAACAUUUGGAUACGGUAUUUUUCUUUCUGUUUUUUCCGACACAUAACGAUUACUUGAUGGAAGAUAAUGUUGUUUCAUUUUGAGUUCUCCAUUAUCCGGUGGCAUUGGUGAUCCCCAGAAACUAGAAUUAUCAACUAUUGGAUCAACUGGUUUUGCAGACACAGGCUGUGCCACCAUACCAUUUAAUAACAAUCUCGGUACAGAUAUUCUACAUAGAAUUUAUGAAAUAAUUUUAUUCAUUAUCCAACUUAAUAAGUUCGCUGUGAUAGAUGAUUCAAAUAGAUAAUCAACCAAAGAACUGAGGCUUAGAUUAACGUUAGUGUUCUUCAAGAAAUAGGAAAUGUAAUUUGGAAUUCGAAAAAUGUCGUAAAUUUGAAUAUUGUGAGAAGCAAGGAAUGAAUCAAAUUGUUCAUAAUAAUCAUAAAAAUAAUAGUAAUAAUAAUAGUAGUAAUAAUAGAAAGUAUAGUAGUAAUAGUAAUAGUUGUAAUAAAAGAAACGAUGAUCAACAAUUAAUGGAGGAUUUUGGUAGUAACCAAUAGAACUAAGAAUUAAAUAGAAAGUUUCUGUUAUUUUUUGAGUAAUGAAACAAUGAUUUAGAUGAUGAAGAAUAUUGAAUCGAUAAAAACAAAAGCAUCCAAGAAAAUAUAGCAUUGACCCAGAAGUAAAAUAAAUGCUAACAAAUAGAAUAGUGUGUUUGAUGUUGUGAUGGUACUUAGUUCGAUACCUGAAUGAUAAAUUUGUAUUUUGGCCUGCGACGUACCGGGCGAUACUGAGGUAAUGCUGUUUGGCUGAAAUAUUUCGAUUAUUUUUUAGGUUUAUAG